GACGAACGCUGGCGGCGUGCUUAACACAUGCAAGUCGAACGGAAAGGCCCUGCUUUUGUGGGGUGCUCGAGUGGCGAACGGGUGAGUAACACGUGAGUAACCUGCCCUUGACUUUGGGAUAACUUCAGGAAACUGGGGCUAAUACCGGAUAGGAGCUCCUGCUGCAUGGUGGGGGUUGGAAAGUUUCGGCGGUUGGGGAUGGACUCGCGGCUUAUCAGCUUGUUGGUGGGGUAGUGGCUUACCAAGGCUUUGACGGGUAGCCGGCCUGAGAGGGGGACCGGACACAUUGGGACUGAGAUACGGCCCAGACCCCUACGGGAGGCAGCAGUGGGGAAUAUUGCACAAUGGGCGGAAGCCUGAUGCAGCAACGCCGCGUGCGGGAUGACGGCCUUCGGGUUGUAAACCGCUUUCGCCUGUGACGAAGCGUGAGUGACGGUAAUGGGUAAAGAAGCACCGGCUAACUACGUG
rnacentral:rRNA from 1 species